CCUGGCUCACGUUGAACGCUAGCUACAGGCUUAACACAUGCAAGUCGAGGGGCAGCAUGGUCUUAGCUUGCUAAGGCCGAUGGCGACCGGCGCACGGGUGAGUAACACGUAUCCAACCUGCCGUCUACUCUUGGACAGCCUUCUGAAAGGAAGAUUAAUACAAGAUGGCAUCAUGAGUCCGCAUGUUCACAUGAUUAAAGGUAUUCCGGUAGACGAUGGGGAUGCGUUCCAUUAGAUAGUAGGCGGGGUAACGGCCCACCUAGUCUUCGAUGGAUAGGGGUUCUGAGAGGAAGGUCCCCCACAUUGGAACUGAGACACGGUCCAAACUCCUACGGGAGGCAGCAGUGAGGAAUAUUGGUCAAUGGGCGAGAGCCUGAACCAGCCAAGUAGCGUGAAGGAUGACUGCCCUAUGGGUUGUAAACUUCUUUUAUAAAGGAAUAAAGUCGGGUAUGGAUACCCGUUUGCAUGUACUUUAUGAAUAAGGAUCGGCUAACUCCGUGCCAGCAGCCGCGGUAAUACGGAGGAUCCGAGCGUUAUCCGGAUUUAUUGGGUUUAAAGGGAGCGUAGAUGGAUGUUUAAGUCAGUUGUGAAAGUUUGCGGCUCAACCGUAAAAUUGCAGUUGAUACUGGAUAUCUUGAGUGCAGUUGAGGCAGGCGGAAUUCGUGGUGUAGCGGUGAAAUGCUUAGAUAUCACGAAGAACUCCGAUUGCGAAGGCAGCCUGCUAAGCUGCAACUGACAUUGAGGCUCGAAAGUGUGGGUAUCAAACAGGAUUAGAUACCCUGGUAGUCCACACGGUAAACGAUGAAUACUCGCUGUUUGCGAUAUACAGCAAGCGGCCAAGCGAAAGCGUUAAGUAUUCCACCUGGGGAGUACGCCGGCAACGGUGAAACUCAAAGGAAUUGACGGGGGCCCGCACAAGCGGAGGAACAUGUGGUUUAAUUCGAUGAUACGCGAGGAACCUUACCCGGGCUUAAAUUGCAGAUGAAUUACGGUGAAAGCCGUAAGCCGCAAGGCAUCUGUGAAGGUGCUGCAUGGUUGUCGUCAGCUCGUGCCGUGAGGUGUCGGCUUAAGUGCCAUAACGAGCGCAACCCUUGUUGUCAGUUACUAACAGGUUCCGCUGAGGACUCUGACAAGACUGCCAUCGUAAGAUGUGAGGAAGGUGGGGAUGACGUCAAAUCAGCACGGCCCUUACGUCCGGGGCUACACACGUGUUACAAUGGGGGGUACAGAGGGCCGCUACCACGCGAGUGGAUGCCAAUCCCCAAAACCUCUCUCAGUUCGGACUGGAGUCUGCAACCCGACUCCACGAAGCUGGAUUCGCUAGUAAUCGCGCAUCAGCCACGGCGCGGUGAAUACGUUCCCGGGCCUUGCACACACCGCCC
rnacentral:rRNA from 1 species